CUGUCUUCUUUUUAAAGAGCUACUUCCAUCUCUUUCAUUUUAUUGUUUCCACGUCUUUGAUUGUUUUGGAACAAGUCCGAUGGUGGAGACGGAACAGGGAGAUCACGAAGACAGCCUCUCCUUUAAAAAAUGGCCAUGAUCUCACGCCUCCUCCCAACCCAGUGGAAACUGGAGCACCGCUCAAGGAGACGCUGCUGUCACAGGAUCCUGCUUACGGGCACGAAAGCUGGGAAAUUUCAGAGCCAAUCUGGGCCAGGGGAGGCUGGAGCUCGUGAGCUGGGCUGGAAAUGAUUCUUCCAGACUGCAGAGAAGACAGUGGCCUGCCCGCCGGCCGGCCUGCCUGCCUGCCCUCCCCGAGGCAAACAGGAAAUCCCAGAAUUUAUAGAUGACCCCGUUACAAGAUGAAGAAACUGAGGCCAAGAAGGAGCUCAAGAUGAACUGGUAACAAAAGCAGGAUGCUGAGCUCCAGUUCCCCUCUUAGGCCGGGAA
rnacentral:lncRNA from 1 species